AUACGGAGGGUGCGAGCGUUACUCGGAGUCACUGGGCGUAAAGCGUCCGUAGGCGGUCGGGUAAGUCGGGUGUGAAAGCCCCGGGCUCAACCUGGGAAGUGCACCCGAUACUGCUCGACUCGAGUGCGGGAGAGGAUGGCGGAAUUCCCGGUGUAGCGGUGAAAUGCGUAGAGAUCGGGAGGAACAACAGUGGCGAAGGCGGCCAUCUGGCCCGCAACUGACGCUGAGGGACGAAAGCGUGGGGAGCAAACAGGAUGAGAAACCCCAGUAGUCC
rnacentral:rRNA from 1 species